rnacentral:rRNA from 1 species
UGAGCCUGAGAAACGGCUACCACAUCCAAGGAAGGCAGCAGGCGCGCAAAUUACCCACUCCCGGCACGGGGAGGUAGUGACGAAAAAUAACGAUACGGAACUCAUACGAGGCUCCGUAAUCGGAAUGGGUACACUUUAAAUCCUUUAACGAGGAUCUAUUGGAGGGCAAGUCUGGUGCCAGCAGCCGCGGUAAUUCCAGCUCCAAUAGCGUAUAUUAAAGUUGUUGUGGUUAAAAAGCUCGUAGUUGGAUCUCGGUUUCGGGUGAAUGGUGCACCUUGCGGUGUUUACUAUUUAUUCGGACGAUUUUGUUGGUUCGUUCCUGGUUCUCUUAAUCGAGUGCCUUGAGUGGCCAACACGUUUACUUUGAAAAAAAUUGGAGUGCUCAAAGCAGGCGCUACAGCCUGAACAUUAGUGCAUGGAAUAAUGGAAUAGGAUCUCGGUUCUAUUUCGUUGGCUUUCGGAGUCGAGGUAAUGAUUAAUAGGGACAGACGGGGGCAUUCGUACUGCGACGUUAGAGGUGAAAUUCUUGGAUCGUCGCAAGACGAACUACUGCGAAAGCAUUUGCCAAGAAUGUCUUCAUUAAUCAAGAACGAAAGUUAGAGGUUCGAAGGCGAUCAGAUACCGCCCUAGUUCUAACCAUAAACGAUGUCGACCGGCAAUCUGCUCUCGUUAAAUUAAUGACUGAGCAGGCGGCCUGCUGGAAACAAGAGUAUUUGGAUUCCAGGGGGAGUAUGGUUGCAAAGCUGAAACUUAAAAGAAUUGACGGAAGGGCACCACCAGGAGUGGAGCCUGCGGCUUAAUUUGACCCAACACGGGAAAUCUCACCAGGCCCGGACACCGGAAGGAUUGACAGAUUGAGAGCUCUUUCUUGAUUCGGUGGGCGGUGGUGCAUGGCCGUUCUUAGUUGGUGGAGCGAUUCGUCUGGUUAAUUCCGAUAACGAACGAGACUCUGGCCUACUAAAUAGACGUCAAAUCUUUUAUAGGUUUGUCGUAUGCUUCUUAGAGGGACGGGCGGCGUUUAGCCGCACGAGAAUGAGCAAUAACAGGUCUGUGAUGCCCUUAGAUGUUCUGGGCCGCACGCGCGCUACACUGAAGAAAUCAGCGUGUGUUCCUCAUCCGAAAGGAUUGGGUAACCCGUUGAACCUUCUUCGUGGUGGGGAUUGGGGAUCGCAAUUAUUCCCCAUGAACGAGGAAUUCCCAGUAGGCGCGAGUCAUUAGCUUGCGUCGAUUACGUCCCUGCCC